UACGUAGGAUGCAAGCGUUGUCCGGAAUUAUUGGGCAUAAAGAGCGCGCAGGCGGUAUGACAAGUCAGAUGUGAAAGAGGCCGGCUUAACCGGCAAGGGUCAUUUGAAACUGUCAGACUAGAGUGCAGCAGAGGAUAGUGGAAUUCCCGGUGUAGUGGUGAAAUGCGUAGAUAUCGGGAGGAACACCAGUGGCGAAGGCGACUAUCUGGGCUGCAACUGACGCUGAGGCGCGACAGCGUGGGGAGCAAACAGG
rnacentral:rRNA from 1 species